UACGAAGGGGGCUAGCGUUGCUCGGAAUCACUGGGCGUAAAGGGUGCGUAGGCGGGUCUUUAAGUCAGGGGUGAAAUCCUGGAGCUCAACUCCAGAACUGCCUUUGAUACUGAGGAUCUUGAGUAUGGGAGAGGUGAGUGGAACUGCGAGUGUAGAGGUGAAAAUUCGUAGAUAUUCGCAAGAACACCAGUGGCGAAGGCAGCUCGCUGGGACGUUACUGACGCUGAGACGCGAAAGCGUGGGGAGCAAACAGG
rnacentral:rRNA from 1 species